rnacentral:rRNA from 1 species
UAGAGUUUGAUCCUGGCUCAGAGUGAACGCUGGCGGCGUGGAUUAGGCAUGCAAGUCGCGCGAUUCCGCAAGGAAUAGCGGCAAACGGGUUAGUAACACGUGAGUAAUCUUCCUUAAAGUCAAGCACAGCAUCAUGAAAAUGGUGGUAAUUCUUGAUAGUACUUCAGAAUCUCAUGGUUUUGAUGUUAAAGACUGGGACCGUAAGGCCAGUCGCUUUUUGAUGAGCUCGCGUCCUAUCAGCUAGUUGGUGAGGUAAUGGCUCACCAAGGCUUUUGACGGGUAGCUGGUCUGAGAGGACGAUCAGCAACACUGGGACUGAGACACUGCCCAGACUCCUACGGGAGGCUGCAGUCGAGAAUCUUUAGCAAUGGACGAAAGUCUGACUAUGCGACGCCGCGUGCAGGAUGAAGGUUUUCGGAUCGUAAACUGCUUUUGUCAGGGAAGAAAGAUUGCAAGCUAAUAACUUGCAAGCUGCCGGUACCUGAAGAAUAAGCCACGGCCAACUCCGUGCCAGCAGCCGCGGUAAUACGGAGGUGGCGAGCGUUACUCGGAAUUAUUGGGUGUAAAGGGCAAGUAGGCGGUUUAUUAAGUGAGGGGUGAAAUCUCCCGACUCAAUCGGGAAAUUGCCUUUCAAACUGAUAAACUUGAGGCUGGGAGAGGGAAAUGGAAUUCGCGGUGUAAGGGUGAAAUCUGUAGAUAUCGCGAAGAACACCGGAGGCGAAGGCGAUUUCCUGGUCCAGAUCUGACGCUAAAUUGCGAAAGCUAGGGGAGCAAACAGAAUUAGAUACUCUGGUAGUCCUAGCUGUAAACGAUGAGUACUAGGUGUUGGCCCGUAAGGGUUAGUGCCGCAGCUAAUGCAUUAAGUACUCCACCUGGGGACUACGGCCGCAAGGCUAAAACUCAAAGGAAUUGACGGGGACCCGCACAAGCGGUGGAACAUGUGGUUUAAUUCGAUGCUACGCGAAGAACCUCACCAGGGCUUGACAUACAGGAAGUAGUGAACUGAAAGGGGAACUAACUGUUAAGUCAGUAGCCUGUACAGGUGCUGCAUGGCUGUCGUCAGCUCGUGUCGUGAGAUGUUGGGUUAAGUCCCGCAACGAGCGCAACCAUUGCCCUAUGUUGCUAAUAUGUUUUCAAUCGAAAGAUUGUGGCAUAAGCACUCUUAGGGGACUGCCUGGGAUAACCAGGAGGAAGGUGGAGAUGACGUCAAGUCAGUACGGCCUUUAUGCCCUGGGCUACACACGUGUUACAAUGCUCGGUACAAAGGGUUGCCAACCCGCGAGGGGGAGCUAAUCUCAAAAAACCGAGCCCAGUUCGGAUAGCAGUCUGCAAUUCGACUGCUUGAAGCCGGAAUCGCUAGUAAUGGAAGAUCAGCUCGCUUCCGUGAAUACGUUCCCGGGUCUUGUACACACCGCCCGUCAAGCGAUGAGAGCGAGGGGUACCCGAAGUCCUACGUAGGUAGGCCCAAGGUAAAACUCGUGAUUGGCGCUAAGUCGUAACAAGGUAGCCGUA